AUUGCACAGGUGUGGCUUAGGCUGGCUACAAUAAAAGGCCACUCUAAAAUGGGCAGUUUUAUCACACAGCACAAUGCCACAGAUGUCGCAAGUUUUGAGGGAACGUGCAACUGGAAUGUCCACCAGAACUGUUGCCUGUGAAUUAAAUGUUCAUUUCUUUACCAUAAGCCAUCUCCAAAGGUAUUUCAGGCUCACAUUCGAUGGCAUCUGGCACUUUGGAGAGGUGUUCUCUUCACGGAUGAAUCCCAGUUUUUACUGUACAGGGCAGAUGGCGGACAGCGUGUACGGCAUUGUGUGGGUGAGCGGUUUGCUGAUGUCAACAUUGUGGAUUGAGUGGCCCAUGGUGGUGGUGGUGGGUUAUGGUAUGGGCGUAUGUUAUGGACAAUGAACACAGGUGCAUUUUAUUGAUGGCAUUUUGAAUGCACAUAGAUACUCUGAUGAGAUCCUGAGGCCCAUUGUUGUGCCAUUCAUCCACGACCAUCACCUCAUGUUGCAGCAUGAUAAUGCACAGCCUCAUGUCGCAAGUAUCUGUACAAAAUUCCUGGAAGCUGAGAACAUCCUAGUUCUUGCAUGGCCAGCAUACUCACCGGACAUGUCACCCAUUGAGCAUGUUUGGGAUGCUCUGGAUCGGCUUAUACGACAGCGUCUUCCAGGUCCUGCCAAUAUCCAGCAACUUCACACAGCCAUUGAAGAGGAGUGGACCAACAUUCCACAGGCCACAAUCAACUACCUGAUCAACUCUAUGCGAAGGAGAUGUGUUGCACUGCAUGAGACAAAUGGUGGUCACACCAGAUACUGACUGGUUUUCGGACCCCCCCAAUACAAUAAAACU